GCGAGGAAACAGGGCCAGAGAAUUGGAACAAAAUACAAGGCUGCCUCUGAAAGGAAUAUCUUUGUGCUGAUGUGUCCAUCAAGAGAACAUACACAGAAGUGACACUUGCCAGUAAUUUGCAAGCAGAUGGAACUUCAAUAUGGCAAUAGAGAAAGAAUCAAUUAGACCAGAGUCUCCUCAGGAAGACUUUCUAUAGAUAUCUGGUGAGCAUCUGCUAGAUGCCAGGGUUGGGGAGAGUCAAGUUGAAGCAAGCAUGAACCCUCAAGGACCUACCAUUUCAAGGCAAGAAAUAGAUACAAAUACAGAAAAUAUUUACUGGAUAGCUACUAGACAUAAGGAUGCAGAAAUGAAUUAGAAAAAUUCCUCGCCCUUGUUCAAAGCUAUGCUGGCUCUUAGAACAUCUGAGCCCCCACUGUUUCAUCUUUAGAGGAUCCCAGCUGCUGGGGUGUGAGGCCAGUGCUGGAGCCAGCAGUCUCUGACCCAGAAGGGACCUGAGGUGCUAAAGAAAAACACAGAGAGGACGGUGCCACUGGAAGUCAUGCAGCCGCAAGUCAAGAAAUGUCAUGAGUGGCUCCUCUCCAGAAACUAGGAGAGGAGCAUGGGGCAGGUUUUCUCCUAGUGCCUUCAGAGACACAUGGCCCUGCCGACACCUUGAGUUUGGAUUUUUGGCCUCCAGAACUGGGUACAAGCUGGAAAAGGGGAAAAUGAAUCAUGCUACAGGCCAAGUGUCCAUCACUGAUUCCCAGAGAUGCCCUUUGUGUGGUAGGCACUUCCAUGUGGACUCGCUACAGAGGUCAUAAGACCCUAAUUCCAGAGGGCCCUACCCUAUAACCAGAAGGAAGAACUAUUGCACAGAGAAUCUAAGAAGAAUCUAGACAGACAGCCCUUGCUGGAUUUCUCCACUCUGUUAGCAUUCGAUCAUUUGCCUUUUGUCCAGUCAUAUUUCUGCAUGGCUGUCCAUACUUUGUUGAACCUAAGCACAAAAUGGAAAGUUUUCCCUGUAUCUUUGGGUCGUCAUUCUGAAGGCUCCCAUGUUAUGUAAAACUAUGAUCAAAUAAAU
rnacentral:lncRNA from 1 species